GUCAGUUUCCAGGAUAAUCCUGGGAUGACCCUGGUCAUGGGUCUCUCAGCGCUAGGUCAGAGAAGGUACUGGAUUUGAAGGAAUAGUCAAGAGAUACGACCUGGAGAAUUAAGACUUUCACCACUCAGCCUGAAGCACUAAUUAAGGAACUCAGUGAGGAAGAAUUAGUGCCUGACCAAAAACAAAAUAAUAAUAAAAAUAGGAAGCCUAUAUUUAAUGCUUUAGAACCAUUUCCUGGUAUGGUAGACAUUAGUAACAUGUGGCUAUUGAGCAUUUGAAAAAUUCCUGGUUGACAUGAGAUGUGGUGAAGAUGUAAACUACAUAUGGAUUUUAAUACUUCGUAUGGAACAGCAAAAAGAUGCAGAGGAUAUCAGCUACCACCUACUGCUGCCUGGCUGAACCUCUCUUCUGUGUUAUGUAUGGACUUCUCCCUGUCUUGCCCACCUCUCAUCCCCAGUGCCCAUGCAACACCCCAGAAAAAUGCUGAGGAUACUAACUACCCAGAUUCCUGAAUAUUGUCCCCAGCCCUUUCCCUUGGGAGAAGUGCUUAUUCCAUGAAGAUUUGCAUCACUCAUUCCUGGAAACAUAUUGGAGAGCUGAGAUGGAAUGAGGUCAAGUUAUUUCCCCAAGGUCAUGUGGCUAUAGGUGGUAAAGCAGCAACUCUAAGUCAAG